GAUGAACGCUGGCGGCGUGCCUAAUACAUGCAAGUCGAGCGAACAGAUGAGGAGCUUGCUCCUCUGACGUUAGCGGCGGACGGGUGAGUAACACGGGGAUAACCUACCUAUAAGACUGGGAUAACUUCGGGAAACCGUAGCUAAUACCGGAUAAUAUAUUGAACCGCAUGGUUCAAUAGUGAAAGACGGUUUUGCUUUCACUUAUAGAUUGAUCCGCGCCGCAUUAACUAGUUGGUAAGGUAACGGCUUACCAAGGCAACGAUGCGUAGCCGACCUGAGAGGGUGAUCGGCCACACUGGAACUGAGACACGGUCCAGACUCCUACGGGAGGCAGCAGUAGGGAAUCUUCCGCAAUGGGCGAAAGCCUGACGGAGCAACGCCGCGUGAGUGAUGAAGGUCUUCGGAUCGUAAAACUCUGUUAUUAGGGAAGAACAAAUGUGUAAGUAACUAUGCACGUCUUGACGGUACCUAAUCAGAAAGCCACGGCUAACUCCGUG
rnacentral:rRNA from 1 species